rnacentral:rRNA from 1 species
UACGAAGGGGGCUAGCGUUGUUCGGAUUUACUGGGCGUAAAGCGCACGUAGGCGGAUUGGUCAGUUAGGGGUGAAAUCCUGGAGCUCAACUCCAGAACUGCCUUUAAUACUGCCAGUCUCGAGUCCGGAAGAGGUGAGUGGAAUUCCGAGUGUAGAGGUGAAAUUCGUAGAUAUUCGGAGGAACACCAGUGGCGAAGGCGGCUCACUGGUCCGGUACUGACGCUGAGGUGCGAAAGCGUGGGGAGCAAACAGG